AGAGAAUAGAUACCCGGGUAGUCCUAGCCGUAAACGAUGAGCACUGGGCUGAAGGGUCCUCCAUAGCCUUUCAGCCGCAGCGAAAGUGUUAAGUGCUCCGCCUGGGGAGUAUGGUCGCAAGGCUGAAACUCAAAGAAAUUGACGGGGGCUCACACAAGCGGUGGAGGAUGUGGCUUAAUUCGAGGCUACGCGAAGAACCUUAUCCUAGUCUUGACAUGCACGGAUUAACUCCUUGAAAGAGGAGCCAGGCCUUCGGGUACAACGUGCACAGGUGCUGCAUGGCUGUCGUCAGCUCGUGCUGUGAAGUGUCGGGUUAAGUCCCUUAACGAGCGAAACCCUUGUCGCUAGUUGCCAGCGAGUCAUGUCGGGGACUCUAGCGAGACCGCCGGCGUUAAGCCGGAGGAAGGCGGGGAGUGACGUCAAGUCCUCAUGGCCUUAUGACUAGGGCUGCACACGUCCUACAAUGGCGCGC
rnacentral:rRNA from 1 species